rnacentral:rRNA from 1 species
GACGAACGCUGGCGGCGCGCCUAACACAUGCAAGUCGAACGAGAGAGCGCGAGCUUGCUUUCUUGAGCGAAUGGCGAACGGGUGAGUAACGCGUGAGGAACCUGCCUCAAAGAGGGGGACAACAGUUGGAAACGACUGCUAAUACCGCAUAAGCGCACGGUGCCGCAUGGCAGCGAGGGAAAAGGAGCAAUCCGCGUUGGGUUGGCCUCGCGUCCGAUUGGUUCGUUGGUGAGGUAACGGCCCACCACGGCGACGAUCGGUAGCCGGACGGAGAGGUUGCACCGUCACAAUGGGACUGAGACACGGCCCAGACUCCGAGGGGAGGGAGCGGUGGGGUAUACUGCACGAGGGGGGAAACCCUGAUGCCGCGACGCGGGGUGUAGGAAGAAGGGCGUCGGAAAGUAAACUCCUGUUGUAGGGGAAGAGAAUGACGGUACCCAACAAAGAAGCGACGGCUAACUACGUG